CUACGGGCCGCAGCAGUGGGGAAUAUUGCACAAUGGGCGCAAGCCUGGUGCAGCCAUGCCGCGUGUAUGAAGAAGGCCUUCGGGUUGUAAAGUACUUUCAGCGGGGAGGAAGGGAGUAAAGUUAAUACCUUUGCUCAUUGACGUUACCCGCAGAAGAAGCACCGGCUAACUCCGUGCCAGCAGCCGCGGUAAUACGGGGGGUGCAAGCGUUAAUCGGAAUUACUGGGCGUAAAGCGCACGCAGGCGGUUUGUUAAGUCAGAUGUGAAAUCCCCGGGCUCAACCUGGGAACUGCAUCUGAUACUGGCAAGCUUGAGUCUCGUAGAGGGGGGUAGAAUUCCAGGUGUAGCGGUGAAAUGCGUAGAGAUCUGGAGGAAUACCGGUGGCGAAGGCGGCCCCCUGGACGAAGACUGACGCUCAGGUGCGAAAGCGUGGGGAGCAAACAGGAUUAGAUACCCGAGUAGUC
rnacentral:rRNA from 1 species